rnacentral:rRNA from 2 species
UUUUAUGGAGAGUUUGAUCCUGGCUCAGAGUGAACGCUGGCGGCGUGCCUAAUACAUGCA